rnacentral:pre_miRNA from 1 species
UGUUCGAAGUUUCAUCCAUUUGUACUGUUAAAAAUUGGUGUGGUUGACAAAAAAACAAGACAAUGACAUGUAACAUGCCUUGAGGACCAAUUUUUAAUAGUAAAAAUAGAUAAAAAAAUUAACA